CGCGGCCUAUCAGCUUGUUGGUGGGGUGACGGCCUACCAAGGCGAUGACGGGUAGCCGGCCUGAGAGGGUGGUCGGCCACACUGGGACUGAGACACGGCCCAGACUCCUACGGGAGGCAGCAGUGGGGAAUAUUGCGCAAUGGGCGGAAGCCUGACGCAGCGACGCCGCGUGGGGGAUGAAGGCCUUCGGGUUGUAAACCUCUUUCAGCAGGGACGAAGUUGACGUGUACCUGCAGAAGAAGCGCCGGCCAACUACGUGCCAGCAGCCGCGGUAAUACGUAGGGCGCGAGCGUUGUCCGGAUUCAUUGGGCGUAAAGAGCUCGUAGGCGGCCUGCCGCGUCUGCCGUGAAAGCCCACGGCUCAACCGUGGGUCUGCGGCGGAUACGGGCGGGCUUGAGGCUGGUAGGGGCAAGCGGAAUUCCUGGUGUAGCGGUGAAAUGCGCAGAUAUCAGGAGGAACACCGGUGGCGAAGGCGGCUUGCUGGGCCAGUCCUGACGCUGAGGAGCGAAAGCGUGGGGAGCGAACAGGAUUAGAUACCCUGGUAGUCCACGCCGUAAACGUUGGGCGCUGGGUGUGGGGGCUUUCCACGGUUCCCGUGCCGUAGCUAACGCGUUAAGCGCCCCGCCUGGGGAGUACGGA
rnacentral:rRNA from 1 species